UACAGAGGGUGCAAGCGUUGCUCGGAAUCAUUGGGCGUAAAGGGUAGGUAGGUGGUCUCGUUUGUCUGGGGUGAAAGCCCAGGGCUUAACCCUGGAAGUGCCCCGGAAACGGCGAGACUGGAGUACUGGAGAGGGUCGUGGAAUUCCCGGUGUAGCGGUGAAAUGCGUAGAGAUCGGGAGGAACACCAGAGGCGAAGGCGGCGACCUGGACAGUUACUGACACUCAACUACGAAAGCGUGGGGAG
rnacentral:rRNA from 1 species